AGUGAACGCUGGCGGUAGGCCUAACACAUGCAAGUCGAACGGCAGCACAGUAAGAGCUUGCUCUUACGGUUGGCGAGUGGCGGACGGGUGAGGAAUACAUCACAAUCUACUUUUUCGUGGGGGAUAACGUAGGGACACUUCCGCUAAUACCUCAUACGUCCUACGGGUGAAAUCAGGGGAUCUUCGGACCUUGCGCGAUUGAAUUAGCCGAUGUCGAGUUAGCUAGUUGGCAAGGUAAAGGCUCACCAAGGCAACGAUGCGUAGCUGAUCUGAGAGGGUGAUCGGACACACUGGAACUGAGACAAGGGCCAGACUCCUACGGGAGGCAGCAGUAGGGAAUCUUCAGCAAUGGGCGAAAGCCUGAAGGAGCAACGCCGCGUGAGUGAUGAAGGUCUUCGGAUCGUAAAACUCUGUUAUUAGGGAAGAACAAAUGUGUAAGUAACUAUGCACGUCUUGACGGUACCUAAUCAGAAAGCCACGGCUAACUACGUG
rnacentral:rRNA from 1 species